CGCUUUGGUCAGUUACAGCCUUUAGAAUAUUUGCCUUCAAGUUGUAGCUGUUGUUUUUCUGAUGAUGGAUCCAGCUGUGAUUAUCAUCUUACUUCUCUACAGAAUAGAUUCUACUCAAGCAGUGAGAAAUUCAGAGCCGCUGGUCAUCUCAGCUGAUCCCGGUGGAGCGGUCAAUCUCACCUGCACAUUUGUAGACGACUCAAAUAAAGAUGUUAGGAUGUGGUACAAACAAAGACUGGAGCAUGCGCCACUGGAAGUGGGAUCAAAGUUAGAAGACAAACCGGCUGUGAUUUCAGGUCAAUUUGACAAAUCGAGAUUUAAACUCAACAGAAUAGCGAGUGGCAUUUCUCUCAGUAUUGAACGCGUCACUAAAGAAGAUGAAGGAAUGUACUUCUGUGGAGAGACUGGAAAGAAAACGCUGAACUUCUCUACUGCUACAUUCUUAGCGGUCACAGGGCAGUCAGACAUCUCAAUGCUCCAAACUCCAGUACGGGGGUCAAUUUCUCCAGGAGAGUCAGUCACUCUGCAGUGCACGGUCCUCUCUGAGAUCAGAGCAGCAGAUCUCCAAAUGCUCUGGUUCAGAGCUGCUGCAGGACAAUCCUUUCCUGAAAUCAUUUACACUCAUCAGAACAGCAAUCAUCUUUGGGAAUGGAACAGCAGUAGAAUUGAGUAA